rnacentral:lncRNA from 1 species
UCCCUACGGUAACCUAGUGAGGUGACUCUCACUAUCGCCAUCUUACAGAUAAGACCACUGAGGCACUGGCUCCGGGCUUCUCAUCCAGUUGGCGGCACAGAGGAGUCCAAGGUCAGGUUGUCUAGAGUCCAGCUCUUCUCACGACCCUAGUCCGCCUCCACAGAACCAGGGACGCCGGACAAGGAGGACACUGCCUUCAGGACCCUUCUGCGGAGGUCCCUCAUGGUGCAGAAGUUGGGAGUAGAGGCAGAAACAGCUGUGAAAAUUCUGAUUUGUUUGUUUCUCUGAGCCAAGCUAAAGUGGAUAAUGAAGCCAAGCUGGCGAUUACCUUCCUGUGCGUGAUAAUGGUGGUAGUGGUGAUGCUGACUGCAGCAGGAUGACGGUGAUGUCAGCAGCGACACCAUUGGUCUUAUUGAUGGUGGCAGUGCCCAGGGUGGUGUGGGGGUAAUAGCAUGAGUGGGUGCUGGGAUGCUGUUAGUGAUCCUGCUAGGGCCAGGUUAGCUUGGAGGGGAGAGUGAUGUCCAUCACUGCAGUGGUGGCAAUGCUGCUAGAGACCUCCUGAGUAGUUGGACUCGGGCUGGCAUUGCUGCUGGGACCUUCCCUCACCCCCAUCAGGAAGACCCCUCUGCUCCUCCCCACCCUCAGUGAAGGGGGCAGGGCUCAGAGCCUUCCGUAGAACUGGCUUUAUUGCAUUCCCUGUUCUGGACAGUGUAAGCGAUGGCCCUGCCUCUCGAGAGGGACAAAUGUGAUAAAUAACCAGGGAGGACAAGCGGGAGGAGGCAGUCCUGCCACCAGAAGUCAUAAGUCUCUGUCCAGCCAUGUGACAGGCUCAUUACGGAAAGCUUCGGGGCCAUCCCGGGCUGCAGGGCCUGGGGCUCGGGAGAGCCCUCCAAUGCGUGGCUACUGAUGAAUCUGCAGCUCAGGGCUCGUGGAAUCACCAGCCUCAAUCUCUCCACCCUUCCCGCACACCAGACCAGUCAUGCCCAACUCACCCUGCAGCUGCGGCCACUCUUUCACCUCCCUCCCUCCAUCCUGGGAAAUCCAGGAAGGCAUUUGACAAAGCCUUUCCUGGUGUUCUUGGAAAUAGGAUGGACAAAUAUGAGCUGGAUAGCAGUCCAGUUAGAUGCACUGGACUCCAACAGACCCACAGAGGCCUGGGUUCACAUCCCAGCUCCAGCACUUACAGGACAUGUGAUGUUGGCAGUUGCCUUAACCUCUCCUCGUCUGCAAAGCGAUGACAGCACAAACUCUGCUUCGUUCAGUUGAAAAUGUGAGAUGAUAUAAAUCCUGCGUGGCUAGAUACCAUCCUAUCCUAAGGAAACAAGCACAAAGAUGCUAUUUGCCUGAUGACACACAGCUAAUAAGUGACAGAACUUGCAUUUGAACCGAGGAUGCAGAUACUGCUGGUCCAGAGGCCACACUUGGAGAACCACUGGUGUAGUGCAACCUGCUGAUAGCAUGCCUGGAGCCCCUGCACCCACGCGGGUGCACCCAUCCCUCAGCUACUGUGGAUAUUGGCUGCUAAUGGCUCCCAGCUGCCCCUCUGCUGGGGUCUCACCAUCUGCUGAUGGGAAGCACCUUGCCCUGGAGGUUACCCACCCCCCAACAGCGCACAGCUGAAAAAUUCCCACACCCUCCAAUAUUGGAGCAGAUGAGUAUGGAGACAACUGAGGAACCCAGAGUGUCUCCCAGCUGGAGACACCAAUUCCAAAAACAGGACUCCCAAAUCAUUGUCUCUUAGUAUCAAGAUCUCUCCUUCCAACAGUGGAGCCCAGGAAAACACCUUGAUGAGUCUUCAUAGAACAUUUUGGUGAGAAAGAGGACAGACUGUGGGCCCAAGCUGGAAGAGAAGACCAGGCUAAGAGGAACUGAAUUGCUUUGCAUAGCAAAGGAGCAGGGUAGGAGGCCCAGAAAGGAGAAGAAGAGAGAAAAGCCCAGGGUUCCCAGCUGAUAGCACUGACUGGAUGCAGACCUCAGGAAUGUUGGUUGGAGCUGAAUAUGGCUGUCCUUGUUUCAUGGAGCCUGGACCCCAUGGUUCAUCCUAGUCCCUCCUUGAACCCAUCCACUUUGGCUGCUUUUCUGUCCCAGGUAGGAUUUAGAAUUUGUGAUCCUCACUGGGCCUAGAGUGCAAUCACGUGCAAUCACGUGCAAUCAUAGGAUCAAGAAGGAACCUAGGAGAGACCCCCUCCAAUGACAGAGAAUGGCCAAUACCUUUGAGUGCCUGCUCUGUGUUCUAAGAACAGGCAACACUCUAACCUAUAGAGAUAGAAAUCAGAAUGGUGAUAGCUUUUGUGAGGGGCUGGCUUCUUGGGUGCUGGAAAUGUUCACUAUCUUUUUUUUUUUUUUAGACGGAGUUUUACUCUGUCACUCAGGCUGGAGUGCAGUGGCAGGAUCUUGGCUCAUGGCAACCUCCACCUCCUGGGUUCAAGCGAUUCUCCUGCCUCAGCCUCCUGAGUAGCUGGGAUUACAGGCGCCUGCCACCAGGCCCGGCUAAUUUUUGUAUUUUUUAGUAAAGAUGAGAUUUCAACAUGUUGGCCAGGGUGGUUUCGAACUCCUGACCUCAGGUGAUCCACCUGCCUCAACCUCCCAAAGUGCUGGGAUUACAGGCAUGAGCCACCGCGCCCAGCCGGAAAUGUUCACCAUCUUGACCUGGGUGGUGGUUAUACAGAGGUGUGGUCUCUGUGUGUUUCUGUAUAUAAGUCAAGCUGUACAUUUUAGA